rnacentral:rRNA from 1 species
CGAACGGGUGAGUAACACGUGAGUUACCUGCCCCAAAGUGGGGGAUAGCCUCCCGAAAGGGAGAUUAAUACCGCAUGUGAUCGCAAGAUUAAAGGUGGCCUUUGUGCUGCCGCUUUGGGAUGGGCUCGCGGCCUAUCAGCUUGUUGGUGAGGUAAAGGCUCACCAAGGCGAUGACGGGUAGCUGGUCUGAGAGGACGAUCAGUCACACUGGAACUGAGACACGGUCCAG